AUUCCUUUGAACACGCAGCGUUCUGAAAUCGUGUCCUGCCGCAAGGACUCAAGUAGGGCCUCCUAGUGCAAGUCCUGGCCCUGCCUUAAAGUCUCCGAGACAAAAACAACAAAAUGCAGUGUGGACAGAAAUGAAAAAAGCUGUGAUGCUAUUUAAAGAAUGGAACACCCUUGGAAACGCGAUGCUACGUCUCAAUGGGAUUUUCCAGUACAAAGAUUCUUUUCAAAGAACAUAAUUGUGGAUACACACCACUCCUACAGAGAGUGUGUCUUGUGGCGACAGAAGACAGCAUGAUGAGGAAGUUAAAGAAGUAAGAAAAUUAGAAUUUAGGAUGUCAA